UCGGAUGAAGAGAAUGUGUGUAGAGGGAGCUCGGAAACUGGAUCAUCAAUGGAGGUAAUGGUGUAAUUUAGGAAAUGUCCUGUCCGCAGAGUGGGCAUUCCACCACCUUUUCGUGACAUGAGAGCUUCCCUUACAUGGACAAUGUGGUCGUCAUGAUCAGAUGGAAGUCCAUCCCUUCCUGAGUUGAGAUGGAUGGACUCCAUGGGAAAAAUUUCUGGUAAUUUGAUUCAAGAUAGGAGUAAAGGAAAUC
rnacentral:lncRNA from 1 species